rnacentral:rRNA from 1 species
GAGCUUGCUCCUUGGGUGACGAGUGGCGGACGGGUGAGUAAUGUCUGGGAAACUGCCCGAUGGAGGGGGAUAACUACUGGAAACGGUAGCUAAUACCGCAUAACGUCGCAAGACCAAAGAGGGGGACCUUCGGGCCUCUUGCCAUCGGAUGUGCCCAGAUGGGAUUAGCUAGUAGGUGGGGUAACGGCUCACCUAGGCGACGAUCCCUAGCUGGUCUGAGAGGAUGACCAGCCACACUGGAACUGAGACACGGUCCAGACUCCUACGGGAGGCAGCAGUGGGGAAUAUUGCACAAUGGGCGCAAGCCUGAUGCAGCCAUGCCGCGUGUAUGAAGAAGGCCUUCGGGUUGUAAAG